UUCUGGCGUCAGGAUGAACGCUAGCUACAGGCUUAACACAUGCAAGUCGAGGGGCAGCAUUGGAGUAGCAAUACUUCAGAUGGCGACCGGCGCACGGGUGAGUAACACGUAUCCAACCUGCCGCUUACUCGGGGAUAGCCUUUCGAAAGAAAGAUUAAUACCCGAUGGUAUAAAGAGUUCGCAUGUUCUCUUUAUUAAAGAAUUUCGGUAAGCGAUGGGGAUGCGUUCCAUUAGAUAGUUGGCGGGGUAACGGCCCACCAAGUCUACGAUGGAUAGGGGUUCUGAGAGGAAGGUCCCCUACAUUGGAACUGAGACACGGUCCAAACUCCUACGGGAGGCAGCAGUGAGGAAUAUUGGUCAAUGGACGAGAGUCUGAACCAGCCAAGUAGCGUGAAGGAUGACUGCCCUAUGGGUUGUAAACUUCUUUUAUAAGGGAAUAAAGUGAGGGACGUGUCCCUUUUUGUAUGUACCUUAUGAAUAAGGAUCGGCUAACUCCGUGCCAGCCGCAGC
rnacentral:rRNA from 1 species